rnacentral:tRNA from 1 species
GGGGAGGUGGCUCAGAGGUUGAGAGCAUUGACUGCUCUUCCAGAGGACCUGGGUUCAAUUCCCGGCACCCACG